UUUAUUGGCGCCGUCUAUUCGCCAUUAAAACUAUUUUUUGAAAUUCCAUCCGAUGGCUCUCUCUCUCUUCUUUCUCUCUUACCUCUAGCGCUUCAUUGCUUUCUUCUUCCUUCCACUUCUUUUCUUCUUUACCCCUAUUUGAGGUUUUUCCUUUCUUCUCCUCAUCUUUUUCUUAUAUUUUAGCUUCCUCUUCUUCUUUCAUCUCCUAACCUCGAUUACAUUCCCCUUCGUCAAUUUGUCGAAAUGGAUCCUUCU
rnacentral:lncRNA from 1 species